rnacentral:rRNA from 1 species
ACGGGUGAGUAACGCGUAAUCAACCUGCCCUUCAGAGGGGGACAACAGUUGGAAACGACUGCUAAUACCGCAUACGAUCCAAUCUCGGCAUCGAGACUGGAUGAAAGGUGGCCUCUAUUUAUAAGCUAUCACUGAAGGAGGGGAUUGCGUCUGAUUAGCUAGUUGGAGGGGUAACGGCCCACCAAGGCAAUGAUCAGUAGCCGGUCUGAGAGGAUGAACGGCCACAUUGGGACUGAGACACGGCCCAAACUCCUACGGGAGGCAGCAGUGGGGAAUCUUCCGCAAUGGACGAAAGUCUGACGGAGCAACGCCGCGUGAGUGAUGAAGGUCUUCGGAUUGUAAAGCUCUGUUAAUCGGGACGAAAGAGUUCUGUGUGAAUAAUGCAGGAAAGUGACGGUACCGGAAUAGAAAGCCACGGCUAACUACGUGCCAGCAGCCGCGGUAAUACGUAGGUGGCAAGCGUUGUCCGGAAUUAUUGGGCGUAAAGCGCGCGCAGGCGGCCUAUCCAGUCUGUCUUAAAGUUCGGGGCUCAACCCCGUGAUGGGAUGGAAACUAGUAGGCUAGAGUAUCGGAGAGGAAAGCGGAAUUCCUAGUGUAGCGGUGAAAUGCGUAGAUAUUAGGAAGAACACCAGUGGCGAAGGCGGCUUUCUGGACGAAAACUGACGCUG